GCAAGUCGAGCGGUAACAGGAGAAGCUUGCUUCUCGCUGACGAGCGGCGGACGGGUGAGUAAUACUUAGGAAUCUACCUAGUAGUGGGGGAUAGCUCGGGGAAACUCGAAUUAAUACCGCAUACGACCUACGGGAGAAAGGGGGCAACUUGUUGCUCUCGCUAUUAGAUGAGCCUAAGUCGGAUUAGCUAGAUGGUGGGGUAAAGGCCUACCAUGGCGACGAUCUGUAGCUGGUCUGAGAGGAUGAUCAGCCACACCGGGACUGAGACACGGCCCGGACUCCUACGGGAGGCAGCAGUGGGGAAUAUUGGACAAUGGGGGCAACCCUGAUCCAGCCAUGCCGCGUGUGUGAAGAAGGCCUUUUGGUUGUAAAGCACUUUAAGCAGUGAAGAAGACUCCAUGGUUAAUACCCAUGGACGAUGACAUUAGCUGCAGAAUAAGCACCGGCUAACUCUGUGCCAGCAGCCGCGGUAAUACAGAGGGUGCGAGCGUUAAUCGGAAUUACUGGGCGUAAAGCGAGCGUAGGUGGCUUGAUAAGUCAGAUGUGAAAGCCCCGGGCUUAACCUGGGAACGGCAUCUGAUACUGUUAGGCUAGAGUAGGUGAGAGGAAGGUAGAAUUCCAGGUGUAGCGGUGAAAUGCGUANAGAUCUGGAGGAAUAACGAUGGCGAAGGCAGCCUUCUGGCAUCAUACUGACACUGAGGUUCGAAAGCGUGGGUAGCAAACAGGAUUAGAUACCCUGGUAGUCCACGCCGUAAACGAUGUCUACUAGUCGUUGGGUCCCUUGAGGACUUAGUGACGCAGCUAACGCAAUAAGUAGACCGCCUGGGGAGUACGGCCGCAAGGUUAANACUACAAUGAAUUGACGGGGGCCCGCACAAGC
rnacentral:rRNA from 1 species